AUUGAACGCUGGCGGCAGGCUUAACACAUGCAAGUCGAGCGAGCGGCGGACGGGUGAGUAAUGUCUGGGAAACUGCCUGCUGGUGGGGGAUAACUACUGGAAACGGUAGCUAAUACCGCAUACUAUCGGAUGAACCCAUAUGGGAUUAGCUAGUAGGUGGGGUAAAGGCUCACCUAGGCGACGAUCUCUAGCUGGUCUGAGAGGAUGAUCAGCCACACGGGAACUGGGACACGGCCCAGACCCCUACGGGAGGCAGCAGUGGGGAAUAGUGCACAAUGGGCGCAAGCCUGAUGCAGCAAUGCCGCGUGUAGGAAGAAGGCCUUAGGGUUGUAAGGUACUUUCAGCGGGGAGGCGUUACCCGCAGAAGAAGCACCGGCUAACUCCGUGCCAGCAGCCGCGGUAAUUC
rnacentral:rRNA from 1 species